GAUGAACGCUGGCGGCGUGCCUAAUACAUGCAAGUCGAGCGAACAGACGAGGAGCUUGCUCCUCUGACGUUAGCUGCGGACGGGUGAGUAACACGUGGAUAACCUACCUAUAAGACUGGGAUAACUUCGGGAAACCGGAGCUAAUACCGGAUAAUAUAUUGAACCGCAUGGUUCAAUAGUGAGAUACGGUUUUGCUGUCACUUAUAGAUGGAUCCGCGCCUCAUUAGCUAGUUGGUAAGGUAACUGCUUACCAAGGCAACGAUGCGUAGCCGACCUGAGAGGGUGAUCGGACACACGGGAACUGAGACACGGUCCAGACUCCUAGGGGAGGCAGCAGCAGGGAAUCUUCCGCAAUGGGCGAAAGCCUGACGGAGCAACGCCGCGUGAGUGAUGAAGGUCUUCGAAUCGUAAAACUCUGUUAUUAGGGAAGAACAAAUGUGUAAGUAACUAUGCACGUCUUGACGGUACCUAAUCAGAAAGCCACGGCUAACUACGUG
rnacentral:rRNA from 1 species